rnacentral:lncRNA from 1 species
AAAAAUAUAUUUUUAUACCGAAAAUACCCCUCCGCCAUCUCCCUGUUGCUUCGACUCCCUCCGGCUCGCCACCUCGCCGUCGCCUCGCCGCCUCGCCGCCUAGCCGCUUCGCCGUCCUCCACUGCCUCACCCUCACCCACAUCCGCUUCGCCGUCCUCCGCCGCCUCGCCUUCGCCUUUUUUGCCCUUCUCCUACUGUCGCCCACCUCGAUUUUCUCCUACUGUCGCCGAAAUCGAGGGCGGCGAGGGUGCAGGAGGAGAAGAGGAGCAGGUGGAGAAGGAAAUGGAGAGAAAUCGCGGCCGAUUGAGGUCAAAAUCGCGGCCGAACGAAGGGGCGGCUGAGGAAGAUGGGGAAGAAGACGACAAUGGCGAGGGGCAAAAUGGUCAUUUUACACACCGUAACCCCCCUGUGAAUAUUUUUCAUUUUACAGGGGGCAAAGUGUAGAUUUUUAAAUGUCAGGGGGGGGAAAGUGAAAAAGCGGGUUAUUACAGGGGUGUUUUGUGUAAUUUAGCCUUUUUUUUUU